CUCUCCAGAGAAGGACCUGGGUGUCCUGGUGGACAAGAAGUUGUCCAUGAGCCAGCAGUGUGUCCCUGUGACCAAGAAGGCAAAUGAUAUCUUGGGGUGCCAGGAGGCGAAAGGAAAGGAUUCUGCACCUCUACUCAGCCGUGGUGAGGCCACAUCUGGAGUGCUGUGUCCAAUUCUGGGCUCCUCAGCACAAGAGAGACAUGGAGCUCCUAGAGUGGGUCUAGCAGAGGGUGACAAAGAUGAUUAAGGGACAGAAGCAUCUCUCUUCUGAGAAUAGGCUGGGAGAGUUGGGCCUAUUCAACCUCUUGAAGAGACAGCUGAGGGGGAACCUCAACAAUAUCUUUUUUCAGAUAUUCAGACAUGAUCCAGAACCUGAAUGGCUUCAUGUUUCACUAUAGUCAAGGUAUCACAAUUUCCUGCAGCAUCUUGGUUAGCAAGACACACUUAUGACCAAGAAAUUACACUGCCACAGAUGAUGAAAUCCUGCAAGAAGG